AUUGAACGCUGGCGGCAUGCUUUACACAUGCAAGUCGAACGGCAGCGCGGGCUUCGGCCUGGCGGCGAGUGGCGAACGGGUGAGUAAUACAUCGGAACGUGCCCAGUAGUGGGGGAUAGGUGGGCGAAAGCCGGAGUAAUACCGCAUAAGACCUGAGGGUGAAAGCGGGGGAGCUUCGGACCUCGCGCUAUUGGAGCGGGCGAGGGCAGAUUAGCUAGUUGGUGGGGUAAAGGCCUACCAAGGCGACGAUCUGUAGCUGGUCUGAGAGGACGACCAGCCCCACUGGGACUGAGACACGGCCCAGACUCCUACGGGAGGCAGCAGUGGGGAAUUUUGGACAAUGGGCGAAAGCCUGAUCCAGCAAUGCCGCGUGUGUGAUGAAGGCCUUCGGGUUGUAAAGCACUUUUGGCGGGAACGAAAAGGACUGUGCCAAUACCACGGUUCGAUGACGGUACCCGCAGAAUAAGCACCGGCUAACUACGUG
rnacentral:rRNA from 1 species